AGUGGCUUUGAAGGCAAAGGACAGGACUCAAAAGAUCCAAACGUGGGUUCGAAACCCG
rnacentral:tRNA from 1 species